rnacentral:rRNA from 1 species
UUGAAUUGAAGAGUUUGAUCAUGGCUCAGAUUGAACGCUGGCGGCAGGCUUAACACAUGCAAGUCGAACGGUAGCGGAGAGUACUUGUACUUUUCGUGAGAGUGGCGGACGGGUGAGUAAUGCUUGGGAAUCUGGCUUAUGGAGGGGGAUAACUACGGGAAACUGUAGCUAAUACCGCGUAAUAUCUUCGGAUUAAAGUAUGGGAUCGCAAGACCAUAUGCCAUAAGAUGAGCCCAAGUGGGAUUAGGUAGUUGGUGGGGUAAAGGCCUACCAAGCCGACGAUCUCUAGCUGGUCUGAGAGGAU